UACGUAGGGGGCAAGCGUUGUCCGGAAUCAUUGGGCGUAAAGAGCGCGCAGGCGGUCGUUCAAGUCGCGUGUGAAAGCCCCCGGCUCAACUGGGGAGGGUCACGCGAUACUGAUCGACUCGAAGGCAGGAGAGGGUAGUGGAAUUCCCGGUGUAGUGGUGAAAUGCGCAGAUAUCAGGAGGAACACCGGUGGCGAAGGCGGGUCUCUGGGCCGAUACUGACGCUGAGGAGCGAAAGCGUGGGGAGCGAACAGG
rnacentral:rRNA from 1 species